rnacentral:rRNA from 1 species
UACGUAGGGAGCAAGCGUUGUCCGGAAUCACUGGGCGUAAAGGGCGCGUAGGUGGCACGGGUAGUCGUCGGUGAAAGCUCAGGGCUCAACCCUGAGUCGGCCGGUGAUACUCCCGAGCUCGAGUGUGGUAGAGGCCAAUGGAAUUCCGGGUGUAGCGGUGGAAUGCGUAGAGAUCCGGAAGAACACCGGUGGCGAAGGCGGUUGGCUGGGCCACAACUGACACUGAGGCGCGACAGCGUGGGGAGCAAACAGG